rnacentral:rRNA from 1 species
AUUGAACGCUGGCGGCAUGCCUUACACAUGCAAGUCGAACGGUAACGGGCCUUCGGGUGCCGCCGAGGUGCGUACGGGUGAGUAAUACAUCGGAACGUGCCCGAUCAUGGGGGAUAACGAGGCGAAAGCUUUGCUAAUACCGCAUACGAUCUACGGAUGAAAGCAGGGGACCGCCAGGGCUUGCGCGGCCGGUGCGGCCGAUGGCAGACUAGGUAGUUGGUGGGAUAUAAGCUUACCAAGCCGACGAUCUGUAGCUGGACUGAGAGGAUGAUCAGCCACACUGGGACUGAGACGCGGCCCAGACUCCGACGGGAGACAGGAGUCGGGAUUCUAGGAGAGGGGGCGGAAGCCUGUACCAGCCAUGGCGCGUGAGGGAGGAAGGCCUUCGGGUUGUAAACUGCUUUUGUACGGAACGAAUAGCCUUCUUUUAAUACAGGAGAGUCAGACAGGUACCGGAAGAAUAGGCACCGGCUAACUACUG